rnacentral:misc_RNA from 1 species
CCGAGUUUACAACUCCCAAACCCAAUGUGAACGUUACCAAACUGUUGCCUCGGCGGGAUCUUCUGCCCCGGGUGCGUCGCAGCCCCGGACCAAGGCGCCCGCCGGAGGACCAACUCCAAAACUCUUAUUGUAUACCCCCUCGCGGGUUUUUUACUAUCUGAGCCAUCUCGGCGCCUCUCGUAGGCGUUUCGAAAAUGAAUCA